GAGAGUUUGAUCCUGGCUCAUAUUGAACGCUGGCGGCAUGCCUAACACAUGCAAGUCGAACGAUGAUUAAGAGCUUGCUCUUAUGAUUACUGGCGGACGGGUGAGUAAUGUAUAGGGAUCUGCCUGUUAGUGGGGGACAACAGCCGGAAACGGCUGCUAAUACCGCAUACGCUCUACGGAGGAAAGUGGGGGACCCUCGGGCCUCACGCUAACAGAUGAACCUAUAUUGGAUUAGCUAGUUGGUAGGGUAAAGGCCUACCACGGCGACGAUCCAUAGCUGGUUUGAGAGA
rnacentral:rRNA from 1 species